UGUGUGUUAGCCAAGCACUCAUGUUGGCAGGUGCAGUAGUGUGUGUUUGGUAUAUUUUAAGGGAGAAAGAGAAAUACCCUCCUUGGGCACAGUGGAUCUGCUUCAAAGUGGUGGCUUCUCUGUUCCUAGGAAUAUAACAGCA
rnacentral:snoRNA from 1 species